rnacentral:rRNA from 2 species
CCAAAAUGGAGAGUUUGAUCCUGGCUCAGGAUGAACGCUGGCGGCGUGCUUAACACAUGCAAGUCGAACGGGCUCUUCGGAGCUAGUGGCGGACGGGUGAGUAACGCGUGAGAAUCUGCCUACAGGACGGGGACAACAGUUGGAAACGACUGCUAAUACCCGAUGUGCCGAGAGGUGAAACAUUUAUGGCCUGUAGAUGAGCUCGCGUCUGAUUAGCUAGUUGGUGGGGUAAGGGCCUACCAAGGCGACGAUCAGUAGCUGGUCUGAGAGGAUGAUCAGCCACACUGGGACUGAGACACGGCCCAGACUCCUACGGGAGGCAGCAGUGGGGAAUUUUCCGCAAUGGGCGCAAGCCUGACGGAGCAACGCCGCGUGGGGGAGGAAGGUUUUUGGACUGUAAACCCCUUUUCUCAGGGAAGAAGAAAGUGACGGUACCUGAGGAAUAAGCCUCGGCUAAUUCCGUGCCAGCAGCCGCGGUAAUACGGGAGAGGCAAGCGUUAUCCGGAAUUAUUGGGCGUAAAGCGUCCGCAGGCGGUUAAUCAAGUCUGUUGUCAAAGCGUGGGGCUCAACCUCAUACAGGCAAUGGAAACUGAUUGACUAGAGUAUGGUAGGGGUAGCGGGAAUUCCAGGUGUAGCGGUGAAAUGCGUAGAUAUCUGGAAGAACACCAGCGGCGAAAGCGCGCUACUGGGCCAUAACUGACGCUCAUGGACGAAAGCUAGGGGAGCGAAAGGGAUUAGAUACCCCUGUAGUCCUAGCCGUAAACGAUGAACACUAGGUGUUGCGUGAAUCGACCCGCGCAGUGCCGUAGCCAACGCGUUAAGUGUUCCGCCUGGGGAGUACGCACGCAAGUGUGAAACUCAAAGGAAUUGACGGGGGCCCGCACAAGCGGUGGAGUAUGUGGUUUAAUUCGAUGCAACGCGAAGAACCUUACCAGGGUUUGACAUCCCCCGAAUCUCUUGGAAACGAGAGAGUGCCUUCGGGAGCGGGGAGACAGGUGGUGCAUGGCUGUCGUCAGCUCGUGUCGUGAGAUGUUGGGUUAAGUCCCGCAACGAGCGCAACCCACGUUUUUAGUUGCCAUCAUUCAGUUGGGCACUCUAGAGAAACUGCCGGUGACAAACCGGAGGAAGGUGUGGACGACGUCAAGUCAUCAUGCCCCUUACAUCCUGGGCUACACACGUACUACAAUGCUCCGGACAGCGAGACGCGAAGCCGCGAGGUGAAGCAAAUCUCCCAAACCGGGGCUCAGUUCAGAUUGCAGGCUGCAACUCGCCUGCAUGAAGGCGGAAUCGCUAGUAAUCGCAGGUCAGCAUACUGCGGUGAAUACGUUCCCGGGCCUUGUACACACCGCCCGUCACACCAUGGAAGUUGGCCAUGCCCGAAGUCGUUACCCUAACCGUUCGCGGAGGGGGGCGCCGAAGGUAGGGCUGAUGACUGGGGUGAAGUCGUAACAAGGUAGCCGUACCGGAAGGUGUGGCUGGAUCACCUCCUUU